AUUGAACGCUGGCGGCAUGCCUAACACAUGCAAGUCGAACGGCAGCACGGGGUUCGUCCUUGCGGUGAGUGGGGGACGGGGGCGUGAUGCAUAGGUACGUGACCCGGCGUGGGGGAUGGGGAGACGUAAGGCAGACGAAUACCAAAACCGAACAGAGUGUGAAAGCCGAGGACCGAAAGCGCCGGCCCUCUUGGCAUGGCCGAUGUCGGAUUAGCUAGUUGGUGGGGUAAAGGCUUACCAAGGCGACGAUCCGUAGCUGGUCUGAGAGGAUGACCAGCCACACUGGAACUGAGACACGGCCCAGACUCCUACGGGAGGCAGCAGUGGGGAAUUUUGGACAAUGGGGGCAAGCCUGAUGCAGCCAUGCCGCGUGCGUGAAGAAGGCCUUCGGGUUGUAAACCGCUUUUAUUCGGGAAGAAAUGCUCUGGGCUAAUACCCCGGGUGGUUGACGGUACCGGAAGAAGAAGCACCGGCUAACUACGUG
rnacentral:rRNA from 1 species